AGCCACUGAAGAGAUGGCGAGUUCACGCAUCUGCUUCUGUCCCGCUGCCGGGCUGUGGAAGAGAGGUUGGGGAGGCGGUGAGGGGACAGCAACCCAGGCCUGUACUUGGAAGUCUGUGGUCAACCCACAGGUCGGCGUGCUGACAUCCACUCUCUCAAGCAAAAUUGCCUUAUCAAAAUAGAAGCCAGAAAGGGAACAUUCCCUAUCUUAUUUUUCUUCUUUGGAGCAACCAUUGCUGGACCUUCUGAUACAGCGUGCUGUGGAGUUCUGAAAGUAAUUACCCCUCCAGGAAAGUGAGCUUUGAAUAGCUCAUGGGUUGUGAAAAGAAAAAUGUCAAGGAAGAAUAUCUGAAUUUUCAGGGAGAAAUAAGACAGGCCUCCUUUGUGAGCCUCUACUAGUUGGGCUGGACUAAGCCAUGCACGGCCGCAGUUUAUCGACACUUGAGGAUAUUUGUAUAAUCACC